rnacentral:rRNA from 1 species
UACAGAGGAUGCAAGCGUUAUCCGGAAUGAUUGGGCGUAAAGCGUCUGUAGGUGGCUUUUUAAGUCCGCCGUCAAAUCCCAGGGCUCAACUCUGGACAGGCGGUGGAAACUACCAAGCUGGAGUACGGUAGGGGCAGAGGGAAUUUCCGGUGGAGCGGUGAAAUGCGCAGAUAUCAGGAGGAACACCGGUGGCGAAGGCGGGUCUCUGGGCCGUUACUGACGCUGAGGAGCGAAAGCGUGGGGAGCGAACAGG